CAGAGCGUGCUAAAUAAGAAAGUACCUCCCUUACACCGAGGAGUUAUCCGUGCAAUUCGGAUCGCCCUGA
rnacentral:tRNA from 1 species